CCCUUAUUCAGAGUGAUGGAGGUACAUAGGACCUGUGAAGUCACGGCAACCCCUGUUAAUCGCGGUGCGAGAGGGCAGGAAGGUGCCAGCCUGAGCGAGAAAUCGAGCAAUAAGAG
rnacentral:ncRNA from 2 species